rnacentral:rRNA from 1 species
AGAAUCAACGCUGGCGGCGUGCCUCAGACAUGCAAGUCGAACGCGAAAGGUUCCUUCGGGAACUGAUUAGAGUGGCGCACGGGUGAGUAACACGUAGGUAAUUUGCCUUUGGGUGGGGAAUAACAGUCGGAAACGGCUGCUAAUACCGCAUAAUGCAGCGGCUCGACAUCGAGACAGUUGUUAAAGCGGGGGAUCGCAAGACCUCGCGCCUGAAGAGAAGCCUGCGGCAGAUUAGCUUGUUGGUAGGGUAAUGGCCUACCAAGGCAUCGAUCUGUA